rnacentral:rRNA from 1 species
GACGAACGCUGGCGGCGCGCCUAACACAUGCAAGUCGAACGAGCGAGAGAGAGCUUGCUUUCUCAAGCGAGUGGCGAACGGGUGAGUAACGCGUGAGGAACCUGCCUCAAAGAGGGGGACAACAGUUGGAAACGACUGCUAAUACCGCAUAAGCCCACAGCUCGGCAUCGAGCAGAGGGAAAAGGAGUGAUCCGCUUUGAGAUGGCCUCGCGUCCGAUUAGCUGGUUGGUGAGGUAACGGCCCACCAAGGCGACGAUCGGUAGCCGGACUGAGAGGUUGAACGGCCACAUUGGGACUGAGACACGGCCCAGACUCCUACGGGAGGCAGCAGUGGGGAAUAUUGCACAAUGGGGGAAACCCUGAUGCAGCGACGCCGCGUGGAGGAAGAAGGUCUUCGGAUUGUAAACUCCUGUUGUUGAGGAAGAUAAUGACGGUACUCAACAAGGAAGUGACGGCUAACUACGUGCCAGCAGCCGCGGUAAAACGUAGGUCACAAGCGUUGUCCGGAAUUACUGGGUGUAAAGGGAGCGCAGGCGGGAAAGCAAGUUGGAAGUGAAAUCCAUGGGCUCAACCCAUGAACUGCUUUCAAAACUGUUUUUCUUGAGUAGUGCAGAGGUAGGCGGAAUUCCCGGUGUAGCGGUGGAAUGCGUAGAUAUCGGGAGGAACACCAGUGGCGAAGGCGGCCUACUGGGCACCAACUGACGCUGAGGCUCGAAAGUGUGGGUAGCAAACAGG